rnacentral:rRNA from 1 species
UACGAAGGGGGCUAGCGUUGCUCGGAAUUACUGGGCGUAAAGCGCACGUAGGCGGGUCGUUAAGUCGGGGGUGAAAGCCCAGAGCUCAACUCUGGAACUGCCUUCGAUACUGGCGACCUGGACCAAAGUAGAGGCAAGUGGAAUUCCGAGUGUAGAGGUGAAAUUCGUAGAUAUUCGGAGGAACACCAGUGGCGAAGGCGACUUGCUGGACUUUUGGUGACGCUGAGGUGCGAAAGCGUGGGGAGCAAACAGG